rnacentral:lncRNA from 1 species
CUCUCAGAAGAACACUGCAUCCAGGCCUCUGCGCUGGGCUCGGGCUGUCUCCUCUGCUCAAAAUAUUCUUCUCCUCUGGCCCCAUCUGUGGAACUUGUAAUCGUCCUUUGAGGUUCUUCAUCUCUGUGAAGCCAGUGGCCCUUCACAGGCUGAUUUCAUUUUUAACUCAUCUCUGGGUUUUUUUUUUUUACUGUGAGCACCUCAAAAGCAUGACCUAUGACUUAUCUUUAUAUAGCUUUUGUGCUUUAGCAAAAAACUGGCUCAAUAAAUGUUUGUUCUGGAGUCUGGAAGUCCUUGACGAAGGUGCCAGCUGAUUGGGCUCCUGGUGAGAACUCUCUUCCUGGCUUGCAGACAGCUGCCUUCUUGUUGCAGCCUUUCCUCUGCAGUGCAGGGGCCUAUGUGCAUGUCGGUUGGCUUAAGAAAAGAAGAUCCUAACAAUUAGAGCUGGCCGGUGAUGGAAUGGCAAGAAUUACCACGUGGUCUUCUCUGCUCUGAGCCUGAUCCAGCAGAGGCUGGGUGACCAUCUGUUAGAGCUGCUGCAGAGGGAGAUCAAUUUAGACAACUUCUGAGUCUCUUUCCA